rnacentral:lncRNA from 1 species
UUUAAGGACUCAUUUUCAGGUCUCAUUUUCAUGAGAGAGAGAUUGGAAGUUUAAAAUAUUCCAUAGAAAUAGAAUCUUGCUGUAAUGGUGCAUAGGUCUAUCUAACUCUAACCUAUCAUAGGAUGAAUGGUAUAGGUCUAUCUAACUCUAACCUAUCACAGGAUGAAUGGUACAGGUCUAUCUAACUCUAACCUAUCACAGGAUGAAUGGUAUAGGUCUAUCUAACUCUAACCUAUCACAGGAUGAAUGGUUUAGGUCUAUCUAACUCUAACCUAUUACAGCAUGAAUGGUAUAGGUCUAUCUAACUCUAACCUAUCACAGGAUGAAUGGUAUAGGUCUAUCUAACUCUAACCUAUCACAGGAUGAAUGGUAUAGGUCUCACUCUGCUGGUAUUGAUGGGUGGUAUAGGUCUCACUCUGCUGGUAUUGAUGGAUGGUAUAGGUCUAUCUAACUUUAACCUAUCAUAUGAUGAAUGGUAUAGGUCUCACUCUGCUGGUAUUGAUGAAUGGUAUAGGUCUCACUCUGCUGGUAUUGGUCUCACUCUGCUGGUAUUGAUGGCUGGUAUAGGUCUCACUCUGCUGGUAUUGAUGGAUGGUAUAGGUCUCACUCUGCUGGUAUUGAUGGAUGGUAUAGGUCUCACACUCUGCUGGUAUUGAUGGAUGGUAUAGGUCUCACUCUGCUGGUAUUGAUGGAUGGUAUAGGUCUCACUCUGCUGGUAUUGAUGGAUGGUAUAGGUCUCACUCUGCUGGUAUUGAUGGAUGGUAUAGGUCUCACUCUGCUGGUAUUGAUGGCUGGUAUAGGUCUCACACUCUGCUGGUAUUGAUGGCUGGUAUAGGUCUCACUCUGCUGGUAUUGAUGGAUGGUAUAGGUCUCACUCUGCUGGUAUUGAUGGCUGGUAUAGGUCUCACUCUGCUGGUAUUGAUGGCUGGUAUAGGUCUCACUCUCUGCUGGUAUUGAUGGAUGGUAUAGGUCUCUCACUGCUGGUAUUGAUGGAUGGUAUAGGUCUCACACUCUGCUGGUAUUGAUGGCUGGUAUAGGUCUCACUCUGAUGGUAUUGAUGGAUGGUAUAGGUCUCACACUGCUGGUAUUGAUGGCUGGUAUAGGUCUCACACUCUGCUGGUAUUGAUGGGUGGUAUAGGUCUCACUCUGCUGGUAUUGAUGGCUGGUAUAGGUCUCACUCUCUGCUGGUAUUGAUGGCUGGUAUAGGUCUCACUCUGAUGGUAUUGAUGGAUGGUAUAGGUCUCACUCUCUGCUGGUAUUGAUGGGUGGUAUAGGUCUCACACUCUGCUGGUAAUGAUGGAUGGUAUAGGUCUCACACUCUUCUGGUAUUGAUGGAUGGUAUAGGUCUCACUCUGCUGGUAUUGAUGGAUGGUAUAGGUCUCACUCUGCUGGUAUUGAUGAAUGGUAUAGGUCUCACUCUGCUGGUAUUGAUGGAUGGUAUAGGUCUCACUCUCUGCUGGUAUUGAUGGCUGGUAUAGGUCUCACACUGCUGGUAUUGAUGGAUGGUACAGGUCUCACACUCUGCUGGUAUUGAUGGAUGGUAUAGGUCUCACUCUGCUGGUAUUGAUGGAUGGUAUAGGUCUCACACUUUGCUGGUAUUGAUGGCUGGUAUAGGUCUCACACUGCUGGUAUUGAUGGAUGGUACAGGUCUCACACUCUGCUGGUAUUGAUGGAUGGUAUAGGUCUCACUCUGCUGGUAUCGAUGGAUGGUAUAGGUCUCACCCUGCUGGUAUUGAUGGAUGAUAUAGGUCUCACACUCUGCUGGUAUUGAUGGAUGGUAUAGGUCUCACACUCUGCUGGUAUUGAUGGCUGGUAUAGGUCUCAUUCUGCUGGUAUUGAUGGAUGGUAUUGGUCUCCCACUCUGCUGGUAUUGAUGGCUGGUAUAGGUCUCACUCUGCUGGUAUUGAUGGAUGGUAUAGGUCUCCCACUCU